rnacentral:rRNA from 1 species
CCUACGGGAGGCAGCAGUGAGGAAUAUUGGUCAAUGGACGAGAGUCUGAACCAGCCAAGUAGCGUGAAGGAUGACUGCCCUAUGGGUUGUAAACUUCUUUUAUAUGGGAAUAAAAUGUUCCACGUGUGGGAUUUUGUAUGUACUAUAUGAAUAAGGAUCGGCUAACUCCGUGCCAGCAGCCGCGGUAAUACGGAGGAUCCGAGCGUUAUCCGGAUUUAUUGGGUUUAAAGGGAGCGUAGGUGGAUUGUUAAGUCAGUUGUGAAAGUUUGCGGCUCAACCGUAAAAUUGCAGUUGAAACUGGCAGUCUUGAGUACAGUAGAGGUAGGCGGAAUUCGUGGUGUAGCGGUGAAAUGCUUAGAUAUCACGAAGAACUCCGAUUGCGAAGGCAGUUCACUGGACUGCAACUGACACUGAGGCUCGAAAGUGUGGGUAUCAAACAGGAUUAGAUACCCUUGUAGUC